UGGCCUUAAGCUGAGUGGUCCAAAACUUCUGUCAAUCAUCUUUACAUGUGACCACACCAUGAGACCUCUGAAAGGUCCUAAAGCAUAACCCAAAGGAAUUAACGUAGUCACAUGACCGAAGGUCCUGCGAUGCUAUAAAGGUAAUUAUAUUAAUAUACAUGAUUAAAUAUAUACACACAAACACUAUAAAACUAGAGUAGAAGGAGGCGACUAGGGGCUGUCCCACCUGAAGGACCCUACCUGAACUUAGUAACUCUGGCUUUGGGGACCACCAUACAAGGGGGAAAAAGUACAAAAUCAUCAGGGGAUCAAAUAAUUUUUUCCUUCACUGUCGACUGUCAAUGACUGAUUAAGAGAAAAGCUGACGAUUCGGUCCAGGGAUUCGAUGAUCACAUUAUGUACGGGCUUCACUUGUCUCUAAUGCCGUUAUCAUCGAAGGACUGGAACACGGAGAACGUUUCGUAACCUGGCAUCUAGGGCAGAACAGCCGACAUUUUACUGUAGUGGUUGAAGGAAAAUCAUUUACGCAGAACUGGUCACUGUGACAUCAUCAGCUGCUAGGUAAGAAGCAGUUCCUCCUGGGCGGAGACAUUUGCUGAUAGGCUCUUUUGUGCUACACCUCUGAAGACACUGGAGAGAAGUGGGAAAAUUAAUAAGAAUCCCUUUCUUGGUCUGAAGAUCACUUAUUUAAGGAAGUAAAGGCUCUGGUUCCAUUUGUUGAGAGUCACGUUUGACACCUUGUGGCUGAGGCUGAGGUGGCGGUGGCAUCACGGUUUCAUCCAGCUGAGUCCGGCUUCCCUCCAUCAUAGACUCCUGUAGUCUACUA